GAUGAACGCUGGCGGCGUGCCUAAUACAUGCAAGUCGAGCGAACAGAUGAGGAGCUUGCUCCUCUGACGUUAGCGGCGGACGGGUGAGUAACACGUGGAUAACCUACCUAUAAGACUGGGAUAACUUCGGGAAACCGGAGCUAAUACCGGAUAAUAUAUUGAACCGCAUGGUUCAAUAGUGAAAGACGGUUUUGCUGUCACUUAUAGAUGGAUCCGCGCCGCAUUAGCUAGCUGGUAAGGUAACGGCUUACCAAGGCGACGAUGCGUAGCCGACCUGAGAGGGUGAUCGGCCACACUGGAACUGAGACACGGUCCAGACUCCUACGGGAGGCAGCAGUAGGGAAUCUUCCGCAAUGGGCGAAAGCUUGACGGAGCAACGCCGCGUGAGUGAUGAAGGUCUUCGGAUCGUAAAACUCUGUUAUUAGGGAAGAACAAAUGUGUAAGUAACUAUGCACGUCUUGACGGUACCUAAUCAGAAAGCCACGGCUAACUACGUG
rnacentral:rRNA from 1 species